rnacentral:lncRNA from 1 species
CGAUUUUGCUGGUGAAAAUAGUUGUGGGUUGGUUGUGUGCUAAUUGGUGAUGGUUCGAACCCUAAGUGGGGGAGAACCGGGUACCGUAUGUAAGAAAGCAGAGAUUUGUCAAGAGCAGUUAUAAGUGGAGUAUAGAGAUCUGUGGUAAGAAAUCAUGAGACCAGAGAUGUCGGCGAUCGAGGGAAGGGGGUCAGAGUGAGUUAAUGCGGGAAGUACUUGUUUGAGAAGGAUGAAUGUCUCCACGGUAGGCGUUUAAUGGUCAAGAACCUAGCAGUGGUCAGUGUUGUUGCAAGUAGAUAGAGAAUGAUUGGGCAGCCAACUCCCGGGUCGGUAUGCGUAUCCUUGCUUGGAUUUUGAGCGGUGGAAAAAGGGUUUCGGAAAAUUAUCAGCGUAUUUCAUAGCGUUAGCGUUUCUCGUAUUCCAAUUGAGAAAUUGGAUACACCGAUAGGCGUUUAAUGGUCAAGAACCUAGCAGUGGUCAGUGUUGUUGCAAGUAGAUAGAGA